UGGGUUUUUCUUCUGUAUGCAGAGAAGGAAAAGGAUAAAGGACAUGCUCUGGCCUUAUAGAAUCUGGUAUCCAACCAAGGUAUUUUACCUAUCCCGAUAAGAAGCCCGACCUGAAAAAUUGGUAUUGUCUGUUACCUCAAUUGUUAAAAAUUGAGCCAGCGUACGAAGACUAGAGAGCCUAAUCAAGAGGACCAAGAGGAUGUUGUGGAGGCAUCAUUAGUGCGAACGACGAUCGAUGGAUCUCGAGACAGAAGCCAACAAAGCUGGUACUGACGAGGGCAUGCAGGUUUGUUUAUGGUGGUCAAGCGCAGUUUUUUAAUGGUGAGACCCGUUCGGAACCAAGGCAUUGAAACAAUGGUGUUG